CGGGAGCGCCACGGGUUUCCCCUCAGGGUUGUGGUGGUGAUGGCGGUGGCUCGCGUGAGCCUCUCGCCUCCCUACCACGGGGUGAGGUCAGUGCUGUGACGUCACGGAGCGGCAUCGCUCUGGCGGCGCCGAGGGCUCCUCCCUGGCAGGGCCGCGGGAGUUGGGCUUGAGCCCUUGUGUUGGGACUGGAAGGAGCCUGGAGGAACGCCUGCCUCCUGCCUUCAGGCCCCUCGAGGCCUUGUCCCGCCGCUCCCUCCGGCUGUGUUCAUCUGUUGCUGCUGCUGCUGCUUGUUUCCCCUCGUCCCACGUGCCAAUUAAAGCUGGGCUAAUGAGCAGUGGGAAGUGGAGUCACAGAGCGAAGGAGUUGGUGUCUUCCACCAGUGUGCUUUGCAGGAGCACAGCAGCUUGGAGAAGACAUCUCCUUUCACAUGAGCGGCACCGACUGGAAGUUGGGGGUCACAUCGCUUCCAUUGUUCAUUCAGCCUUUUGAUCAAGUCACAGGUCUCUGGGGUCUGGAACUAUCUGGAUCCACCUAGCUGGGAAUCAGCUGGCAUCUUGUGCUUGAGCAAAUUCACCAGUCUGCUGGAGGUUGGGUCUCCUGAAGCCCAGGGGAGCAGCUGAAGGACGUCCCUGCCCGGGCGCAGGCAUUUCAGCGCGGCGGUGCCGGGGAGCUGCCGCCCGCAGUGCUGAGUCUUGCAGAAGUGGCAGCUAAAGAGCAGGUGAAGCACCUCGGCCUGACAAGCUUCGUCUGAGUCCAGAUUUCAGGUCAGGGUUGUGCUGGCCUCUCCUCUGGCCAAGGAAUUCAUUUUAGGAUGCACUGGAUGCCCUGGUUUAAGGAUGCAAGUACUGUAUCUGGAAGGUCAUCUGGUAGCUGAGUGCCUACCCUCUAGCUGCAUCCCAUAUUUUCGAUUAUAUCAAAAAUACAUAUCGACAUACACGUCUGUUUUUGACAUACCAUGCUUCUCAUGGCAUUUUCCAUCCACUGGUGGUGGCAGAGAUAAGGAGAGCAGUGGAUGGAGCAACAGUGGGAAAAUCCUAUUGGGUUCUCAUCAGCUUCAAGGAGGAAUUUUUCAGUGGAAAUCUUUUGUCCGGAAAAUGCCUGCCCAUUGUAAUGGAAACAGUUCAUAGGAAGAGGUUUGUUUGGACAAAUUUUCUGUUAAGUGUUUCAGGGGGAGGAAAUGUUCCAAACUUUCCCACUUUGGCAAUUUCAAAACAACAGUAUUUGAGCCUCCCUUUAGAAAUAACUGUGAGAGCUUAAAAGGUUAAAUUAAGAAAUAAUAAAUUCAUUAAUAAAUUCAUGAACUUGCACAGAGUGAAAAAAGAAAAAAACAACCAAAAAGGCCUGUGUGGAAAAAGGCAGGUAUUAGUUUCCAGCCAAAGCAAGUUCUGUCUGUCCUGCAAGGUUACCUCCAUCUCCUUAGGUGCAGAGAGACCUCUGAGCUCUUCUGUCUUGUUGAAGAGCACCUCAUUCCCUUCUCCAGCUGCCUGUGUGUCGGGGAACCAGCAGCAUCACCGGCUCCAUCCCUUCCCCUUUCGCUAAGUCCGCUGCUUUGCCUUGUGGAGAAGCUUCCCCCCCCCCACCCCGGCCAAGUACUACACCACCUUAAGUCACUUGGCUGUGAAAUUUAAAAAAGCUGUUUGAGAACUGUGGGAUCAGUGUAAGAGAGCGAGGCGGCGUACGUGACGGUGGGGAAGGCCGGUUGGUUUUGAUCAAGGCCGGAGAGGCGCGCCCGCAGCGGGAGCACCAGCGGCUCCGUGACCGUCACCUGCGGGCUCUGGUCCUGCUGGGCUCCGGCGCCGGCUGCGAGACACACGUCUAGUGGGCACGGGCCCUGCCCCGUGAUUUGAAGGAGACGGCAGGGGACAGAGCGAUGCCCUCAGGACCGGAGGCCGGAGGGUGGCAGGCAUCCCUUCCCCCCCCCCCCCCCCCUCCCGGCGCUGCGGCAGCCGGGUCCAGCCGGGAGGUGAAUCUCAGGGCAGUGCAGCCGGCUGGGGGCUUGGCAAGAGGGUGCCUGACAACCUCUGUGGCAUUCCUGUCCCGUGCCAACCGUAGUAGUUUUAAGAGCAAAACAGCGUUCUGGGCGGGCAGUACGGAGCAUCGCAGUGUGGCCAAGGGGCCUCAAGGCCCUUUGUCUGAGAGCAGGCGCAAUCCGCCCCUCUGCUGAAGCCAGCAGUGUCGCCCCCCGUGAAGGGAGAAAAUUUCCAAUCCACGAGUUCUUACUUCUCAGAAUUACACAGCUACUAACUGAAUUGGUUUCUAUAUUCUCUGCCUUUUAAAAAUCCCAUUAUUACCAGCACAGUGGCUGCAACCCAUACGCUGCAACUUCUACGGUUUAAUGAUAAAAACUUUGGAUUGGAGACACAUUGUUUUUUAGGUGGCUGUCUAUUAGAAGCAGCAAUGAGGUUGCCUCUGUAUCUCUUCGAACACUUUCCAGCUCCUAGCUCCUACAGCUGUCAGCGACACAAGAGGCGCCUGAAGAUGCAGGAAAAAACAACCUGUCACCCUUCAGAUCAGGAAACCGGUUCCUUCAUCCCACACGGCGACUCACGUGGGAAAGAGAACUUAAAGCAGAAUUAUCACAAAGGAGCAGAAUUAUUUUGACAAUAAGUCUGAGGCACGUUCUGCGUGAGUCUUGCACAUAGUCUUUAUAUCAGUGAGAGGAAAAAUUAAAAUCAGCCAAGGAAGAAAUACCUUUGAGAAAAAUAAUGUCCUGUACAUUUAAAUGUUCUACCUUGAUGCUUAUUUGACAAAAGUCACUUGUUACAAAACUCCUCAGCAUCACAACCCUCAGCAGAAAAACUCCUGUUGUUAAGGAGGAAAUAAAUUCUUUUAUUCCAGUGCCGUCAAAUAAACCCUGUAAACCUGGUACGGCCGCGUUUUUCCCAGCAACCUGACUCCUGCCACCUCUGAAUUUUUAGGCUGAGAUCUCCGAUGGCAGCUACUACAGGUUCGGACACCUGGCUGGCGCCCGCCGUGAACCUGGGCUCCCCAAAUCCCCCCGCCCGGCACCGCUUCACCCUCCCUGGGCUGCGAGCGGCGCG